CAUUUCUAGAAGGAUGACCAUGAUCUCGUUUCUAACAGAAUGGCGAUCUAGCGGUAUUCUACAAGAGAGAAACGGUAUUCUUCAAGUACAAAAAAGGGGUUGUCUGUUCUAUUGCUGCGAACAAACCGUUUCUCAAGAAACAAGAAGGCAACCUGGGUCGAUGUUACGGAAUUUUUUUUCCUGCAAACUUCUUCGCAUACCCUUUCGUUUACAGCUAUUCCCAGAAACGUGGAAGAAAUAGAAGCAUGAACACUCAGAGGAUCGAAGAUUAUGAUGAUUAGACAAAGACGAGACUUUCUAUUGGAAGAAUCAUAAAAGAUGAUCUUAAGGAAGGGAUGAACCAAAAAAAGAAUGAAAAGGAACAUCGUGUGAUUGGAAGACGAAGAAAAAGAAGUGGGGGUAGAAUGGUGGAUACAGGAGGGUAGAGACAAUCUUGAGAACGCGAGACAAGCUAGGUUCGACGAUGUUGCGAUAUUCUAUCCUUAAAGGUGAAGCGUGCUUCGGUUUUUCACAAAUGAAAAAUCACGAAUAUAUAAAAUAACAAUGAAGACCUGUACGGAGGAACACGGACAAACCACAUAAAAACGACUGCAUCGAAAUGGAAGCAGAAAACCGGCCACUGCGGCAAAAUUGCGGAGCGGCGGCUCGAGUUUAUUCAUGCCCGCAAAAUAUUUCGUGCAAGACUAUCGCCUGCGGUUUUCCCUGGAUUAUGCAGCGAGGACAAUGUACCACCAGCUAAAACCGUCCAGCUAUCAAAACUUGCCUUUCAACGUCAUGUCUCUCGGAAAUAAGGAGAAACUAAAAUAUUAAAUCUAUUUCUAAAGUAUACUCUAAAACGAAAAGAAGGACCAAGAAUGAACAAAGAAGAAGAAUACAAUUUACAAUUUCCGUCACGUCAGUUUCAUACGACCAAGCUUUCAUUCGAUCUUUCGCCAAACAUCGUCAACUCAAUGACACAUCUUUUUUUAAGCCUUUGCUUUCAUAUUCCUACCGUUCGAUCCACCACGGAGAUAAUAAAAUCCAGUAAUGAUGUACAAUAUAAAAGACAACAGUUGAGUCAGAAUAUCUUGACGAUAAAUUAGGAUACCUUAUGCUGCGUACACAGUAGAGAGUAGAAGAGCAAACAUAUGAUUUUCGUGAAUGAACACUUGGCAACUAGACAAAUAUUUGGUAAACUACUAAAGCCUGAUUUACAUUGGUAGAGUAAGUGAUGAAGUAUAUUAGCGGAAGUAUACUAAUAAGGACUAACUUAUCAAAUCAAGAAACAAAUGGUCUCUCAGCUAAAUAAUUCUAACCAGUGUGAACUCAGAAGAUCCUUUGAGCAAACAUUUGAUCAUUUAUUUGACCAUUUGGUGUGCGCUCGGCUUUAUAAUUGAAGUUCACUCUGAAGCGCGUUAAUAAAAUAGCACCACCGCGAAGAGGUUCGUAUUUUCCUUACAAAUUGCCUACAAAAGCCACGAUUCCACGUAACGAGACAGUCAUUCAGAGAUCAUUUAAGAGAAGACGCGUAGGAAAAGCAGAAACGUGUAUAACAAAAUGAAAGCGGCGCUCAUUUUAUCCCAAGAUCAUUCGACUGCAUCGCGCCAAGUUGAAGUAACGAAAAAUACAAACGUACGUUACUCCAACUUUAUUUUACGUACAGACUGACCCUGAAUGUCAGCUGCUACAACAUUAGAUGUACACGCUGCGUAUGACAUUCUUGGGAUAUAAAUCUAGCGGGAUGCGUGGUUAAUUGUACAAUUGCGAUAAAUCAAGUGAUCAGCAGGGGGGAGUACCGUGAUUGCAGAUACCUUAGACAAUGAUAAAUCAAACGUAAGGACGUUGAAGCAUAAAAUGUAAUAGC